AGCGGCGGAUGGGUGAGUAACACGUGGGGAACCUGCCCCUAAGUCUGGGAUACCAUCUGGAAACAGGUGCUAAUACCGGAUAAUAAAGCAGAUCGCAUGAUCAGCUUUUGAAAGGCGGCGUAAGCUGUCGCUAAGGGAUGGCCCCGCGGUGCAUUAGCUAGUUGGUAAGGUAACGGCUUACCAAGGCGACGAUGCAUAGCCGAGUUGAGAGACUGAUCGGCCACAUUGGGACUGAGACACGGCCCAAACUCCUACGGGAGGCAGCAGUAGGGAAUCUUCCACAAUGGACGCAAGUCUGAUGGAGCAACGCCGCGUGAGUGAAGAAGGUUUUCGGAUCGUAAAGCUCUGUUGUUGGUGAAGAAGGAUAGAGGUAGUAACUGGCCUUUAUUUGACGGUAAUCAACCAGAAAGUCACGGCUAACUACGUGCCAGCAGCCGCGGUAAUACGUAGGUGGCAAGCGUUGUCCGGAUUUAUUGGGCGUAAAGCGAGCGCAGGCGGAAAAAUAAGUCUAAUGUGAAAGCUCUCGGCUUAACCGAGGAACUGCAUCGGAAACUGUUUUUCUUGAGUGCAGAAGAGGAGAGUGGAACUCCAUGUGUAGCGGUGGAAUGCGUAGAUAUAUGGAAGAACACCAGUGGCGAAAGGCGGCUCUCUGGUCUGCAACUGACGCUGAGGCUCGAAAGCAUGGGUAGCGAACAGGAUUAGAUACCCUGGUAGUCCAUGCCGUAAACGGUGAGUGCUAAGUGU
rnacentral:rRNA from 1 species